GUAGUCUCGCACAGAUGCAUAUCAAUAAGCGGAGGAAAAGAAACUAACAAGGAUUCCCCUAGUAACGGCGAGUGAAGCGGGAAGAGCUCAAAUUUGAAAUCUUAAAGGGUUUCCCUUUACGAAUUGUAGUUUAAAGAAGUGUUUUCUGAUUGAGGUUUUGGUAAAAGUUCUUUGGAAUAGGACAUCAUAGAGGGUGAGAAUCCCGUAUUUGACCUUUACUUUCAACUUUGUGAUACACUUUCAAAGAGUCGGAUUGUUUGGGAAUGCAGUCCAAAAUGGGUGGUAAAUUUCAUCUAAAGCUAAAUAUUGGCGAGAGACCGAUAGCGAACAAGUACCGUGAGGGAAAGAUGAAAAGAACUUUGAAAAGAGAGUUAAACAGUACGUGAAAUUGUCAAAAGGGAAGCGUUUGACACCAGUGUUGUUUUUCUGAAAAUCAAUUAAAGAACUGUUUAUGCUAAGCUGUUUAGACUUUAUCAGCUAUCUGUUUAGUUUUGAGCUUUUCUUUAAUGCACUUUUCAGUUAACAAGUCAACAUCAAUUUCUUUUGCUGUAAAAAAGCUUGAGGAAGGUGGCUUGAGAUUCGUCUUAAGUGUUUAUAGCCUCUUGCCUAUGCAGUCGGAGAGAUUGAGGUCUGCAGCGUAGAUCCUUCGGGGCUAAAUGCAUUUGUGCUAAGUUAUAGCAUUUUAUAGACAACUUGUUGACUAUGAUUUGUCUUGUAGCUUACUCGCUUAUGUUAUUUUACCUACGCUUAGGAUGUUGACGCAUGAGAUAUACGC
rnacentral:rRNA from 1 species